AAAUUGUGUUUUCACUUGACCUUAGGAGUGUUAUUUUGAGUGUAUUUUAAUAUCUGUACUCAGGUGUUUCCCUCUGUGAUCCAUCCCCUUCAGAGCUGAGACACUCAGGACUGAACAGACUGCACAGUUUCUGUGACUGAGCCUCCAAAACAUCUUCUUUGAAACCACACAUGAUAGAAGGGCUUUAUAUUUGCAGCAGCACUACUAAAGUCGGCAGGAAUGUUGCUGCAGGAAAACAUCCCUGCAGAUCACCAUCAUUGUCAGACUGACUGUGCCUCCUCUGUGCAGUGUCAAGAUCCUCCCUAAAUGAGUGUCUAUCCUGCUUCUGUGCUGCUUGCCACACAUCAAACACUGGCCGGAUGACAGGGAGGAUCCACUCUGAAGUCACUGGACAUGAUGAGGAUCAUAUGGGACUUUAUAGUUUCACAGAAAUGUUGUGCUCUUUGAUUACAGGUUUUAAAUGGACAUAAUGACUGCCUCUCUCUGAUCUGACAGGCUAAAGGAUUGUUUUCAUUGUUAGUGCUCUGUACAGUGUAUGCUUAUUUAAUAUUUCAUCACAGAGCAAACCUUUAUUUAUUUAACAUAUUUUUAUUUUGUUUUAAUGUUGAAUUAACUGUGGGGAUUUUUUUAAGUGGGCACUCGGGAUGUCAUAUGACCAGAAAUGUGGUAACUGUAAUUCAACAGUAUGUAAAGAAAGAAUCUGCUAAGAACAAAACACAGACAAAAAACCCCAAGAGAACUCAAAUUUGUUCCAUGUAAUCCAAUCUAAAACAUUUUAAACUGCUGAACAGCAACACAAACAGUGUUAAAGAAACAGUGUUAACAGAAUAAUUAUGAUGAGUUUGUACCAAAGUUUCAGGUCACAUGGCACAC